rnacentral:rRNA from 1 species
UUGACAUCCAGAGAAUUUAGCAGAAAUGCUUUAGUGCCUUCGGGAACUCUGAGACAGGUGCUGCAUGGCUGUCGUCAGCUCGUGUUGUGAAAUGUUGGGUUAAGUCCCGNAACGAGCGCAACCCUUAUCCUUUGUUGCCAGCACGUAAUGGUGGGAACUCAAAGGAGACUGCCGGUGAUAAACCGGAGGAAGGUGGGGAUGACGUCAAGUCAUCAUGGCCCUUACGAGUAGGGCUACACACGUGCUACAAUGGCGCAUACAAAGAGAAGCGACCUCGCGAGAGCAAGCGGACCUCAUAAAGUGCGUCGUAGUCCGGAUUGGAGUCUGCAACUCGACUCCAUGAAGUCGGAAUCGCUAGUAAUCGUAAAUCAGAAUGUUACGGUGAAUACGUUCCCGGGCCUUGUACACACCGCCCGUCACACCAUGGGAGUGGGUUGCAAAAGAAGUAGAUAGCUUAACCUUCGGGAGGGCGUUUACCACUUUGUGAUUCAUGACUGGGGUGAAGUCGUAACAAGGUAAGCGUAGUGCU